rnacentral:lncRNA from 1 species
GCAUGAGCAUUUGCAAUCCUUAACUUCCUUUAUCAAAUUCUGCGGUCCUUGAACAGUAAAACUCCCAAGAAAAUUACAUGUAUUUUGCCAGCAGACCCAACGCGUUAACGAAUACUGCGUCAUAAUGCCGCACUAAGGCUGAGAGGUAUAAUAAACCCCACUUUACGAAGGACGAAAACCAAAAUACAGACAAAUGAAUCAGCUUGCACAAUGUCACACACAGGAGAGUCAGAGGGAGUAAGAAAUCACAGCUUUUCCAAGUCCUUUUGAGGCAAUACUCUGACAACCAUUUUGGAACAGUUACCCAUAUCACUAAUGUACAGUAACGAUACCACUCACAUGCCCCAAAUCGCUGCUGACUUACAGAAAUAUGCCAUGGCCCUUGCUUAGCCUUGUUUCACAUAAUCUUGCAAAGUUCCACAGAUUUAUCUGGUAACAGUAACCAAUUCAUGCGUAAUGAGAGCUGAAGUUUAACACUGAAAUAAUUCUUUUAUCUCUCAGUAUCCUUUCCCUCCCUGCGCUUAGUUGCAAUUAAACCAUCUCUGUGGCAAAAAAAUAGUAGCAAAAGGAAUAAAAACAAAUGCAUCCUUAUGCUGAACUCAAGAAGGAUGAAUAUGCUGUAGUAAGUAUAUGGGCUGCUGGAUGCACCUCCUUCCAAAGGGCUGAGGAAUGCCAUUAAGAAGCGCUACCAUUGCACGUUAACGGGGCCCGCUGCCCCACAACAUGGGAUGGAGAAAACGCGAAGGGUCGGCCAUUUAGAGAGCGCUCGAUAAAACAGUCUUAACCCACCAGUCUUCCAAGCAACAGAACGUCAUUUCUUAGUCGAGCUCCUGGCUGUACAGUUACCUCCGCUGCUGCCUUGUACGAGUGCUGCUGUGUAUGUGCUGUUCUUAUAUACGUGUGUAUUUACGCCUGUCCGUCUUGCUGCAGGGACCACCAUUGUUGCUGCUAUUCCUGUUGUUCCCCUGCUCUGCGGAACUGGCGCUGCAGGAGGCAAGGAUGCUCCAAGGGAGCCAGCUACAGCCAGCGAAGGCUCAACUGCCGUUCGGAGGACAGGCUACUGCUAAGAGACGGAGACAGAGAACGCUAUGUUGGAGUUGGUUCUAA